rnacentral:tRNA from 1 species
AUGCCCUUAGCUCAGCCUGGUAGAGCAGCGGUCUCCAAAGCCGCGUGUCGGGAGUUCGAAUCUCUCAGGGCAUGCAA